rnacentral:rRNA from 1 species
UAACAUUUCUAGCUUGCUAGAAGAUGACGAGCGGCGGACGGGUGAGUAAUGCUUGGGAAUAUGCCUUUGAGUGGGGGACAACAGUUGGAAACGACUGCUAAUACCGCAUAACGUCUACGGACCAAAGGGGGGGAUCUUCGGACCUCUCGCUCAUUGAUUAGCCCAAGUGAGAUUAGCUAGUUGGUAAGGUAAUGGCUUACCAAGGCGACGAUCUCUAGCUGGUUUGAGAGGAUGAUCAGCCACACUGGGACUGAGACACGGCCCAGACUCCUACGGGAGGCAGCAGUGGGGAAUAUUGCACAAUGAGCGAAAGCCUGAUGCAGCCAUGCCGCGUGUGUGAAGAAGGCCUUCGGGUUGUAAAGCACUUUCAGUUGUGAGGAAAGGGGUGUAGUUAAUAGCUGCAUUCUGUGACGUUAACAACAGAAGAAGCACCGGCUAACUUCGUGCCAGCAGCCGCGGU